rnacentral:rRNA from 1 species
GACGGACGCUGGCGGUGUGCCUAACACAUGCAAGUCGAACGGCAAGGCACUAGCUUGUUGGGGUACUCGAGUGGCGAACGGGUGCGUAACACGUGGGUGAUCUGAUCUGCAUUUUGGGAUAAGCCUGGGUAACUGGGUUUAAUCUAGGAUAGGAUAGUGCCUUCGUGUGUGCGCAGGAAAGUUUUUCGGUGUAGGCUGGGCCCGCGGCCUAUCUGCUAGUAGGUGGGGUACUGGCCUACCACGGAGGCGACCGGUAGUCGGCCUGAGAGGGUGUACGGUGACAAGAGGACUGAGAGACGGCCCAGACUCGUACGGUAGGCAACGGUGGGGAGUAUGACACAGUGGGCGCAAGCCGGUUGCGGCGACGCCGCGGUGGGGAAGACGUCCUGCGGGUUGUAAACCCCAGUCGGCAAGUACGAAGCUGUUGUGACGGUACCUACAGAAGAAGCACCGGCUAACUACGUG